AAUCAACGCUGGCGGCGUGCCUCAGACAUGCAAGUCGAACGAUUAAGACUCUCUUCGGAGAGUGCAUAAAGUGGCGCACGGGUGAGUAACACGUAAGUAAUCUACCCUCGGGUGGGGAAUAACGUCCGGAAACGGACGCUAAUACCGCAUAACGCAGCAACGUCUAUGACGAUGCUGUUAAAGGAGCAAUUCGCCUGGGGAGGAGCUUGCGGCAGAUUAGCUUGUUGGUAGGGUAACGGCCUACCAAGGC
rnacentral:rRNA from 1 species